AUUGAACGCUGGCGGCAGGCCUAACACAUGCAAGUCGAACGGAGCGGCGAACGGGUGAGUAAUGCCUAGGAAUCUGCCUGGUAGUGGGGGAUAACGUCCGGAAACGGGCGCUAAUACCGCAUACUAUCAGAUGAGCCUACGUCGGAUUAGCUAGUUGGUGGGGUAAAGGCCUACCAAGGCGACGAUCCGUAACUGGUCUGAGGGGACGAUCAGUCACACUGGAACUGAGACACGGUCCAGACUCCUACGGUAGGCAGCAGUGGGGAAUAUUGGACAAUGGGCGAAAGCCUGAUCCAGCCAUGCCGCGUGUGUGAAGAAGGUCUUCGGAUUGUAAAGCACUUUUAGCUGGGAGGCGUUACCAACAGAAUAAGCACCGGCUAACUUCGUGCCAGCAGCCGCGGUAAUAC
rnacentral:rRNA from 1 species